UAGGUGGUGACGUGGGCGGGGAUGAAAUGCAACCUUUAUUUUCCUGACUGCCCGUCAUCCAAUUCCCCGUUUUCCUCUGACUUUCAUGAGUGGUGAGGUCAUCCCGGCGCAGGAAAAUCAAACUCCUAUUUUUCAGACCCAAUGAAGGCCGGCAUUGUGUGUCUGCGUAAACAGAGGCCAGACGGGCAGGGCGGCGGGGACGCGAGUGGCCCGCCCCCUGGCGGUCGCCUGGGGCAGUGGUGGCCCGAGCUCCACCUCCGGGAACCGCGGCGGGGAGGCGGAGAGGGUGCGUGCUAAAAUGACGCGCGGAUCCAUUACUGCGCGCGGCGGGGGAGCGGAUGCUGCCGGGAGCUGCCGCCGGCCACAUCUCAGCCCCGCGGGCUGGCCGCGGCGUCAUCCAGCCUCCGAUCCGCGCGAGGUGGGGAGUGGGAGGAGACCUCCCGACCCGGGACUCCCCCCGCCCCCCGCUCUCUCCAGGACUCCUUCCCCGGCCUGCCCCCCAAAGGCUCGCUCCCGCCCGUUCUUUACCUCUAUGGGCUCCUUGGUGUUUAAACACAGGCGGCCCCAAACGCAAACAAUCAUCAGGGGCUCUCCUGCGGACGCAGAGCGCACACCGGCCGCUUACACCUUACAGCCUUACAGGGCUUGACGGCCCCUUGAAAAAGGUUUCCAGCCCAGCUGCCUAGAGGAACUGCAUUACUCAGUCCUUGCUCAGGCAGUUGUUGCUGUAAAUAGCUGCGACCUCCCUCCACCCCCGUGCGAGCACGGAUGGGAAUGGAUUUACAGCCAUCUGUCUGAUCACGUUGUAUUUAAGGCCUCGGUGAGAGGGGAGUGUGCUCCAUCCAGCCCAUCCGUGCUGGGACAACAGGGCAUUCCCAGGCCCGUUUGCCCCAGUGGGUGGAAGUCGUCUCCCAUGUAUGAAGAAAUGUCCACAGUGGUAUUUCUGUUGAAGUUGCUAAAUGAUUUUCAUUUCUCAAAAGAUGCUCCAGAAAAAAAA